rnacentral:rRNA from 1 species
GGCGUAAGGGCUCGCAGGCGGUUUCUUAAGUCUGAUGUGAAAGCCCCCGGCUCAACCGGGGAGGGUCAUUGGAAACUGGGGAACUUGAGUGCAGAAGAGGAGAGUGGAAUUCCACGUGUAGCGGUGAAAUGCGUAGAGAUGUGGAGGAACACCAGUGGCGAAGGCGACUCUCUGGUCUGUAACUGACGCUGAGGAGCGAAAGCGUGGGGAGCGAACAGGAUUAGAUACCCUGGUAGUCCACGCCGUAAACGAUGAGUGCUAAGUGUUAGGGGGUUUCCGCCCCUUAGUGCUGCAGCUAACGCAUUAAGCACUCCGCCUGGGGAGUACGGUCGCAAGACUGAAACUCAAAGGAAUUGACGGGGGCCCGCACAAGCGGUGGAGCAUGUGGUUUAAUUCGAAGCAACGCGAAGAACCUUACCAGGUCUUGACAUCCUCUGACAAUCCUAGAGAUAGGACGUCCCCUUCGGGGGCAGAGUGACAGGUGGUGCAUGGUUGUCGUCAGCUCGUGUCGUGAGAUGUUGGGUUAAGUCCCGCAACGAGCGCAACCCUUGAUCUUAGUUGCCAGCAUUCAGUUGGGCACUCUAAGGUGACUGCCGGUGACAAACCGGAGGAAGGUGGGGAUGACGUCAAAUCAUCAUGCCCCUUAUGACCUGGGCUACACACGUGCUACAAUGGACAGAACAAAGGGCAGCGAAACCGCGAGGUUAAGCCAAUCCCACAAAUCUGUUCUCAGUUCGGAUCGC